rnacentral:lncRNA from 1 species
CCUAGAAAAAGCUGUGAUUAAAAAAACUAAAACUGUCAGAGGUCAAGAAAUUCAUAGUUAGAGCAGCAUAGCCUCUGCCCUUCUCUCCUCACAUCUUGCCUGCAGGACAAGGAAUAAAAAACCUCCUGGAACUGGCACAAACAAGUGUGGGACGAGAUUUCCUCCAGCACACAAGAUUCUGCAGGACUGUGGUAUUUAAAGAGCAUUUUAGUUUGCAAAUGUUUCCUGCAUCUGGAAAAUGGUUACUUGGAUAUUUAUACACUACGUAAAUAAUAUAUAAAAUACACAAAUACCAUAGAAUCAUAGAGUAUCAUGAGUUGGAAAAGACCAUUGAGUCCUAUAAAUAGAUACAGAAUUUAGAAGCAACAUGAUGCUAUAAUUGACAUAUAUCUUUCUUCAAAUAGAUUUGCACCAGAGGCACAAGGAGAAUUUGACACACUUGCUGCAAAGAGGUUUUCAUGCCCCGAACGUGAAACCACCAGGACUGGCUGAAGGACACUCUGUGCCCAGGGACUGGGGAGCUGAGACCUGAAAUGGAGAAUCUUAUCCCUCCUUUGGAAGUGGAUUGAAAAGCAUUGUUAUGAAAUCCCAGUGCAGAUUUUAUUAUGGGCUAAAUCAAAAUGCUUUGGAGUUUUUGGAAUUCAGAUCUGAAGUUCAAUGUUUCAGCCCAUAUGCUCCAUCUAAAAAAUUUCACUAGAGAUCCUACCAACAUUAAAUACUCUGUGAAGCCUCAGGAGCUCCUGAGAUGAUGGAUGACAUCAAGAGCCAAAAGAACAUGUACAAAGCAUCUGCAGAAAGAGAUCCUUAAUGACUGUGUGAAGUCUGUUGAUUUGUUGCCAGCACAUGCUCUCACUCUCCAUGUCAGCAUUUGCAACAAUGGGAUCCUCACUUUGGAAAUUUCAGCUGCUUAUAGGAAGUUUAGGUGUUCAAAAUGGCCACUGCAAUGGGCUUGUAUAACAUCUAAUGCACAGAAAUCCACCAUAAUUUUGAAGAAUAAAGUGGGAAUUUAUUUUUCAUUAUUGGAAGAAAUACUUUGUUUUCUGCUAUUACAAGGAAUGAUCAAAGACUCAGAGCCCUUUGGAAAGAGUUUCCAAUAGUGUGGCAUUUAUUGCGAGCAAUUUGUGAUUACUGUUGGAGCACAAAAACAUUGUAAAUCUGAUGAAGGAGAGCCCAGAAGGCAGGAUUGAGCACCUCCUGUGUCCUAGAUUCAGCAGAGGAACUGAUGUGAAAAAGAAGCAGGAUCUGCUGGAUGGAAAGCUCAAACGAUGUAUCACAGGAAAUACAAUUUCCCUGCUGUUUGCACAGGCUCUAGUCCAGAAGCAGCAAUGCAUCUGGGUAGUGGAUUUGCAAAAUGUUUGCUGGCUGUGGUUCCUCCUCCAGGUUUUUAGAAGAUCCACCCAAAGGGAACAGGCUCAGGUGCAGAGACUUUCCCCAUUCAGCCAGCAAGCAGGGCACCAAUGCUUCCUUUGAACAGAAAUGCCUGAAUAUAAACAUCUACAUAUCUUUGGCAGCUCUUGACUACAAGAUAUGAAAAGGGAAU